rnacentral:lncRNA from 1 species
GUGGCCUAGGUGGUUCAGUAAUUCUAAUAUUCUACCCAGAUGUAGGCAGACCUGUUUACCCAGCUCCCAGCUGUGCUGGAAAACCACAGGCCUCCCCACCUUGGAGGAGCAGGUUAGUCAGGCCAGGAGCACUACUCUGAUGGACACCCCUCAAUAGACAUGAAGCCAUGAAGACUGGGGAAAUGUAGACACGAUGGUUGGAGUUCCAGAAGUUGUCUUGGACGAUGAGGUAGCUUUGAGGAUAGAAGCCUUUGGCUAAGGAAGGUGGAGCACAAAGACAGAAGACGAAGAGCAUUCCUGAGGACUGUGGAGUUCCAUGCCAGCCUUGCAUUGUCUAUCUUGUUACUUCUGUGGGAGAAAAAAUACAGUAAACCUCUAUCUUGCUUAA